GUGCGUAAUAGCUCACUGGUCAAGAGAUAGCGCGCGGAAAAUUUACGGGGCUAAGUGUAGAACCGAAGCUAUGGCAUCCGUCUUAGAGACGUGAUGGGUAGGGGAGCGUUGUGUAGUAGGACGAAGCAUGACCGGCAAGGACAUGUGGACGAAUCACAAGUGAGAAUGCUGGCUUGAGUAGCGAAAACAGUGGUGAGAAUCCACUGCAUCGAAAACCUAAGGUUUCCAACGGCAGGCUCGUCCGCGUUGGGUUAGUCGGGAUCUAAGGCGAGGCCUAAAGGCGUAGUCGAUGACAAUCAGGUUGAUAUUCCUGGACUGAUUAUUAAUUGUUUGAGUAGCGGCGUGACGCAGUAGUUUAGGUGAGCGGAUGAUUGGUUGAGUCCGUACAAGCGUGUAGCUAGUUGUGGUAGGUAAAUCCGCCAUGAUGUUGAUGUGAGGCGUGAUGUGGAGGUUCUACGGAGCCGAAGUUGCUGAUAGCACACUGCCGAGAAAAGCGUCGUAUAUGAGAUUAGUGAUUACCCGUACCGUAAACCGCCACAGGUGGAUUGGUAGAGAAUACCGAGAUGCGCGAGAUAACCCUCCUUAAGGAACUCGGCAAAAUAGCCUCGUAACUUCGGGAGAAGAGGUGCCCUAUUAGCUUGAAGGCUGUACAGCUGGAGGGUGAGAGGGUUGCAGUGAAAUGUCCCAGGCGACUGUUUACCAAAAACACAGGUCUCUGCAAAGUCGUAAGACGACGUAUAGGGGCUGACGCCUGCCCGGUGUCGGAAGGUUACGGGGAGUGGUUAGCAGUGAUGCGAAGCUAUGAACCUAAGCCCCGAUGAACGGCGGCCGUAACUAUAACGGUCCUAAGGUAGCGAAAUUCCUUGUCAGGUAAGUUCUGACCCGCACGAAUGGCGUAACGAUCUGGGAACUGUCUCAAGGAGGGACUCGGCGAAAUAGGAAUGGCUGUGAAGAUACGGCCUACGUAUGCCAGGACAGAAAGACCCUAUUGAGCUUUACUCUAACUUGUAAUUGAGAUUUGAUGAACAAUGCGCAGGAUAGGUGGGAGACUUUGAUUGUUAGAUUUUGGUUUAGCAUGAGUCGUUGUUGAGAUACCACUCUUUGUUUAUUGGGUUUCUAACCAUUAGCCAUGAAGCUGGUGAUGGAACAGUUGCAGGCGGGGAGUUUGACUGGGGCGGUCGCCUCCUAAAGAGUAACGGAGGCGUCCAAAGGUUCCCUCAGACCGUAACUAUAACGGUCCUAAGGUAGCGAAAUUCCUUGUCAGGUAGGUUCUGACCCGCACGAAUGGCGUAACGAU
rnacentral:rRNA from 1 species